rnacentral:rRNA from 1 species
GCUUCCUACGGGAGGCAGCAGUAGGGAAUCUUCCGCAAUGGACGAAAGUCUGACGGAGCAACGCCGCGUGAGCGAUGAAGGCCUUCGGGUCGUAAAGCUCUGUUGUUAGGGAAGAACAAGUACCGGAGUAACUGCCGGUACCUUGACGGUACCUAACCAGAAAGCCACGGCUAACUACGUGCCAGCAGCCGCGGUAAUACGUAGGUGGCAAGCGUUGUCCGGAAUUAUUGGGCGUAAGGCGCGCGCAGGCGGUCCUUUAAGUCUGAUGUGAAAGCCCACGGCUCAACCGUGGAGGGUCAUUGGAAACUGGGGGACUUGAGUACAGAAGAGGAAAGCGGAAUUCCACGUGUAGCGGUGAAAUGCGUAGAGAUGUGGGGGAACACCAGUGGCGAAGGCGGCUUUCUGGUCUGUAACUGACGCUGAGGCGCGAAAGCGUGGGGAGCAAACAGGAUUAGAUACCCUGGUAGUCCACGCUGUAAACGAUGAGUGCUAAGUGUUAGAGGGUUUCCGCCCUUUAGUGCUGCAGCUAACGCAUUAAGCACUCCGCCUGGGGAGUACGGCCGCAAGGCUGAAACUC